UCAUGGGAUGCUACAUUGGUAAUGGUCGGGAUAGCUCAGCUG
rnacentral:tRNA from 2 species